rnacentral:rRNA from 1 species
UACAGGGGGUGGCAAACGUUGCUCGGAAUUAUUUGGGCGUAAAGCGCGCGUAGGCGGCUACUUAAGUCGGAUGUGAAAGCCCUUGGCUCAACUAAGGAAGUGCACCCGAAACUGAGUGGCUUGAGUACUAAAGAGGGUCGCGGAAUUCCCGGUGUAGAGGUGAAAUUCGUAGAUAUCGGGAGGAACACCGGUGGCGAAGGCGGGUCUCUGGGCCGAUACUGACGCUGAGGAGCGAAAGCGUGGGGAGCGAACAGG